GAAAGUCUCCUGUGACCUGAGCCGCCAGUGCUCCAGCUCCAGCAGGAACUCCAGCAGGAGCAGGAGUAAGCCAGCUUUGGAGGGCUGGGCAGGACUGGUUGCAGCAUCCACACGGCAAAGGAACAACUAACUACUGAAUGUGGAAAAAAAAAGUGGUUCAGAAACAAAGAAAAUGGAAAAGAGCUGGAAUGUUGUACUGGAGAUUGGAAAAGUGACAAGAAGAUGAUAUGGAAUCUCACCACUCAUUUGUGACAUUGCAUUGGACCUUUCUGAAACAAUUCCGAGUACAAUGAACAGGUGGCGAGGGCUAAGGUGAGAUAACAGCCCAGCAGACA